ensembl:lncRNA
GGGAGCACUGGGAUGCAGGUUCAAUCCCUGCCUGGUGCAGUGGGUUAAAGAUCCGGCAUUGCCACUGCUGCAGUUUAGGUUGCAAUUGUGGCUUGGAUUUGAUCCCUGGCCUGGAGACUCCAUAUGCCUUGGGCAGCCAAAAACAAACAAACAAAAACCCAAAAACAAAACCCCAAAACCCCCACUAAUUAAUGAUUGUUCCUAAUUGAUUUUAUCGUGUAAAAGAGCAGCAUCAUAAAAGAAUCUUUUAAGACCAAAAACAAACAAACAAAAAACCCUUUAGAUCAGAAAGACACAGUAGAAAGAUUGGAUGUUUAUUUCCAUUGCUGAAUGUAAGAACCACUCCUCCCCCUCUACUCCCCACCAGAGUGUUCCAUAACCCACUUGCAUUGCUUGGACCCCUGAAGUACCAUUCACUCAUACAAUUAAGAUUUGUCUUACGUAGAACUGCAAAGUCCCUUCCAGUCAAUGUUCUCAGUAGAAACAUAGAAUGUACUUCAAACAGUGAACAUUGGUACCCAAUGUGCUUAUCUCAGCAGCAGAUGGCCUAUUUUAAGUCAUGCACACUCAGUAAGUGUCCAGGACAUUAGAUCCUCAGUAAACUCAUCAAGCAAAGAAGCAGUUUUUGGCAUAUAAUAGGUAUUUAAUACGUGCUCAUUAAAUGAAGAAUGUUGGUAGGCUGAAAAUAAAUUUAUCAUAAGUAGGAGUCUCAUCUUGAUUUUUCACCCUGAAUGAUCCCAGAGAAGUCAUUGACUGGAUCAUUCCAUGCCUCUCUUUAAAAGAGUAUUGGGGAGUUCCCGUCGUGGCUCAGUGGUUAACGAAUCCGACUAGGAACCAGGAGGUUGUGAGUUCGAUCCCUGGCCUUGCUCAUGGGUUAAGGAUCUAGUGUUGCCAUGAGCUGUGGUGUAGGUCGCAGAUGUAGCUUCAAUCUGGCUUUGCUGUGGCUCUGGCGCAGACUGGCAGCAACAGCUCCAAUUCAGCCUCUAACCUGGGAGCCUCCAUGUACUGCAAGUGCGGCCCUAAAAAGACAAAAAAAAAAAAAGAACUAUGUUAAUUCAAAAUAAUUGUACCGAAGACUUCUAUUGCCUAACUGACCUAGUUACAGCAGGAGCAGGGAAGCAAUCUAAAAUAACAUGAAACAGCUGCCCAGUACAGUAUGGGUAUGGGUAACUGUAGCAAACCAGAAUGGACAGUCAGCCCGGGUCUCUGCCAUGCCCAGAUGCAGUCCCAAGUCUGCAGGAUUGGUUUUAUCCUAAUCCCCAAAUUUCCCUUCCUGACCCCAUCUUUUGUUUAUGAUAAAACUCUUCCCCAAUCCUCUUAAGAUCUGAGGUAAAUCACUUGUAACUUCACCUUUAUUUCCUAGUUAUAGCGUCUACAUUUCUCAUUAUAAAAUCAUUAGCAUUACUGAGGCAACCAAGAAUGAGGCAUAUGCCUUCUACUCCAUUUGGUGAAAUUCUUCCUGUGUUUUUAGCUAAUUUACUUAUGAUUAUUCUACUGGUAUGCCUUAUUUUGUCUGAUUUUCUGUAGGUCCUAGUGACCUGUAUGUGGUCUGCUGAAUUUGCUGACAACACAUUUUUAUUUCUACUAGUGAAUUUUGAUACCUUUCCUUCCUCCAAUACAAUAGACUUCCCCUCUAGCACUGCCCACUCCACAAUCACAGGGUAGUGACACCUCAACUGGCUGUACCCAUUAGAAUAGCCAUGUGUUUUUGUAGAAAAGAGCCAAGUCUUUUAUACAUUUGCUCAACACAUAUUUAACUGAGCAUUUAUUGUAGGCCAGAUACCGUUCAGAGUCCUGGAUAUAUAGUCUAGUCUAUGAUUUUUCUGUUGGUUUUCUUUUUUUUUAAUGAAUUUAUAACAUCUGUAGUUGUAUAAUGAUCAUUACAAUCCAAUUUCACAGGAUUUCUAUCCCACAACCCAAGCACAUCUCCCCCACCCCCCAAACUGUCUUCUCUGGAGACCAUAAGUUUUUCAAUGUCUGUGAGUCAGCAUCUGUUCUGCAGAGAAGUUCAGUCUGCCCUUUUUUCAGAUUCCACUUGUAAGUGAAAGCACUUGAUGUUGGUGUCUCAUUAUACGGCUGACUUCGCUUAGCAUGAUAAUUUCUAGGUCCAUCCAUGCUGCUAAAAAUGCUGGUAUUUCAUUCAUUUUAAUGGCUGAGUAAUAUUCCAUUGUGUAUAUGUACCGCUUCCUCUUGAUCCACUCCUCUGUUGAUGGACAUUUAGGUUGUUUCCAUGUCUUGGCAAUUGCAUAUAGUGCUGCAAUGAACAUUGGAGUACAUGUGUCUUUUUGAGUCAUGGUUUUCUCUGGAUAGAUGCCCAGAAGUGGGAUUGCUGGAUCAAAUGGUAGUUCUAUUUUUAGUUUUAUGAGGCAUCUCCAUACUGUUUUCCACAGUGGUUGCACCAAUUUACAAUCCCAUCCGUCUGUUGGUUUUCUUAAUGGUAUCUUUUGAUAUCCAGACAUUUUAAAUUCUGAUGAAGUUGAAUUUAUCAAUUUUUUCCCCUUUUAUGGCUUGUAGUUUUUGUAUCCAAUCUAAAAAACUUGCCCUUUGGUGUUCCCUGGUGGCCUAGCAGUUAAAGGAUCUGGUGUUGUCAUUGCUAUGGCUCAGGUCACUGCUGUGGUGUGUGAUCAAUCCCUGGCCUGGAAACUUCCACAUUGCCAUGGGCAUGGCCAAAACACAAAAAACAAACGAACAAAAAACCAAAAAACUCACCCUACUUCAAGGUCCUGUUGUCUCCUCUGUACAUUUUAGAAAUUUUAUGGUUGUAGGUUUUAUGUUUAAGUCAAUGAUCCAUCUCAGAUUAUUUUUUGUGUAGGGUGUGGGAUAGAGGUCAAGAUUCAACUUUCAUUUACACAGACAUACUAUGGAUCUAGUACUGUUUGUUAAAAGAGAGUUCAUUUUCCCCACUGAAUUGGCUUGGUGCUUUGGUGGAAAAUCAACUGGCCAAAUAUGUAUGUUAGUUCCUGGACUCUAUUUUGAUCUUUUGGUCUAUCCUCACAUACUAACUUGAUUACUGUAGCUCUUAUGAAUAUAGUCUAAAUAAGUCAAGUAUGAUCACUACCCUGAAGGAAGUUAUAAUCUGAUUUAUGAGAGAGAUAGCCCACAUAGAAGUCAUAAUUGUACAAAGACGUAGAGAAAAUCACAGUAUUAGCCACAGAUGUUGGAAGUACAAAAUAAAACCUCACCUGAAGCUUCCUGAAAAAGGUGUCACCCAGAAUGAUCCUUAAGGGCUCAGUAGGCGUUUGCAGAAAGGAGGAGAGGGCCUGGUGCCCUCAGGUAAAAGCGAGGAGACCAGUGUAACUGGACUGGAAUGAGAUGGAGACUGGAAAAGCAACAUCCAAAAGGAAUAGGACCAUACUGGACAGAGCCUUGAAGGCCAUUUUAAGGCUCUUGGCUUUUACUCUGAGAAGUGAAGCCCUCCAAGGGUUUUGAAUAGAGAGGUGACGUGAUCUGCCAUCUUUUAGAGGGAUCUUUCUGGAUGCUCUGCUUGGAACAGACCAUGUCUGAGCUGGUCUUAGAGCCUCUUUCUUACCUGACUGGUAGGGGCCAGGUAAACCAGAAGCUCUGAGACCAGCUAAAAAAACUAUAACUAUAAUCCAGUCAAAACCUAAUGGUGGCUUGGACUCAGUGGUAAUAAUGGGAUGAUCAUGGAUGAUUGUGGUUUGGAUAAUAAUGGAAUAGCAGGGUGGUGUCCUGGAUAUAUUUUGAAAGCAGAGCUUAUAAAAUCUGGUGACAGGUCGAACGUGAGAUAUAAGGUAAAAAGAGGAGUCGAAGGUUUCGGCUUCAGCUAGCAGGAUGUGUUGCCGGUCAGCAAGAUGUGAGAGGAGCAAGCCUGGAGAAGAAAAUCAGAAGCUUGGUUUUCCUACUUUAGAGUACAUAUGAGAGAUUACUACCAAACCACAUGGACAUGAUGCCAUGGACACUGCUCUCAAGGAGGCUUGAUUCACACAAAGGAGAUGUAAGAAAUGUGAGGUCAAGGAACAGAUUAUGGGAUACAGAUCUCAGGUGCCACAGGAUAGUAGCAGUGUGGUUAAGAGGAGAUGGGAAGGGAGCCAUCUUCACAGAAUGGGGAGAACUUAAAGAGGAAAAGGGACAACAUUGUGAGAAUAAGCAGGAAGCAUUCAGAGCUGACAGGUAUUCUAGGCCUGGCUGGAAAAGGUGUCAAAAGGAUUAAAAAAUUUGGUUCCUGGCACUAGUAGGCGCUUGAUAAAGGAUAGUUAAUAAUAGUUAUUCUAUUGAAGAAAUAACGGAGAUAAAACUGUGUGUCAGACUCUCCUGAGUCCAGUCCCACCCCCAUGUCAACACCUACUCCUUUAGUGUCCUUUACCCUUUCUCCUUUCCUGGGUUGUCUCUAAUACUUCUAUUAGAAAACCUUCAAACCUGGCUUUCUAACUUGUUUGUGAGAAGGAGAGGGAUUUGAACUAUCAUAUUUCAGCCACACAGGCUUUUGGGUUUUUCAUCUCACUCAUGUGAAUACUACAAAAGUCCAGAAGGGGGCAAUAUGACACUUGAACUUUGGGAGCUUUUUUGUUUUGUUUUGAUUUUGUUUGUUUUGCUUUUCAAAAAUGUUUUGGAAUUCAUCCUCUACUGCUUAAACUGAGAAUCUCAGGUCAGGGUUGGAAUGAACUCUAGAUAUCAUAAGGUCCAACACUCUCACUUGCCAGUAAAGACACUGAAGCCCAGAAGGGGGGAAGGGACUUGCUUAAGGGCUGACAGACAUUUAAUGGGAAAGUCAUGACACUGACCUCGCUCUCUGAGUCAGUGCUUAUUCCAAGACCCCAUUUGGUUCUUUGAUUUGAGAGAAUCACCCUCUAAAGCAGUUUCUCAAACUUGUCAUGUAACGACUAUGUUUAAAGAAAUAAAAUUCUCAUAACUCCCUGGACUUAAAUUAUUUUAGUACAGAUAAACAUUCUACAUUAAAAUAUAAUUUAAAAAAAUUAAAAAUUUAAAAAGUAAAAAAA